AUUGAACGCUGGCGGAAUGCUUUACACAUGCAAGUCGAACGGCAGCACGGGGGCAGCCCUGGUGGCGAGUGGCGAACGGGUGAGUAAUACGUCGGAACGUGCCCGGUCGUGGGGGAUAACGUAGCGAAAGUUACGCUAAUACCGCAUACGAUCUGAGGAUGAAAGCGGGGGACCUUCGGGCCUCGCGCGAUCGGAGCGGCCGAUGUCAGAUUAGGUAGUUGGUGGGGUAAAGGCCUACCAAGCCGACGAUCUGUAGCUGGUCUGAGAGGACGACCAGCCACACUGGGACUGAGACACGGCCCAGACUCCUACGGGAGGCAGCAGUGGGGAAUUUUGGACAAUGGGCGCAAGCCUGAUCCAGCCAUUCCGCGUGCAGGACGAAGGCCUUCGGGUUGUAAACUGCUUUUGUACGGAACGAAAAGGCUCUGGCUAAUACCUGGGGCUCAUGACGGUACCGUAAGAAUAAGCACCGGCUAGCUACGUG
rnacentral:rRNA from 1 species